rnacentral:rRNA from 1 species
AGUGAACGCUGGCGGCGUGCUUAACACAUGCAAGUCGAACGAGAACGGAUUAUAGCUUGCUAUAAUUGUCAGCUAAGUGGCGCACGGGUGAGUAAUGUAUAGAUAACCUGCCCUCUAGAAAGGAAUAACAGUUGGAAACGACUGCUAAUGCCCUAUAUGCCUUUAAUACAUAAGUAUGCAAGGGAAACGCUUUAGUGCUAGAGGAUGGGUCUGUAUGGUAUCAGUUAGUUGGUGAGGUAAUGGCUCACCAAGACUAUGACGCCUAACUGGUUUGAGAGGAUGAUCAGUCACACUGGAACUGAGACACGGUCCAGACUCCUACGGGAGGCAGCAGUGGGGAAUAUUGCACAAUGGACGAAAGUCUGAUGCAGCAACGCCGCGUGGAGGAUGACACAUUUCGGUGCGUAAGCUCCUUUUAUAUAGGAAGAUAAUGACGGUACUAUAUGAAUAAGCACCGGCU